rnacentral:rRNA from 1 species
UACGUAGGGUGCAAGCGUUGUCCGGAAUUAUUGGGCGUAAAGAGCUCGUAGGCGGUCUGUCACGUCGGAUGUGAAAACUCGGGGCUCAACCCCGAGCCUGCAUACGAUACGGGCAGACCUGAGUUCGGCAGGGGAGACUGGAAUUCCUGGUGUAGCGGUGAAAUGCGCAGAUAUCAGGAGGAACACCGGUGGCGAAGGCGGGUCUCUGGGCCGAUACUGACGCUGAGGAGCGAAAGCGUGGGGAGCAAACAGG